rnacentral:rRNA from 1 species
GUCGUAACAAGGUCUCCGUUGGUGAACCAGCGGAGGGAUCAUUAGAGUUACAACUCCCAAACCCCAAUGUGAACGUUACCAAUCUGUUGCCUCGGCGGGAUUCUCUUGCCCCGGGCGCGUCGCAGCCCCGGAUCCCAUGGCGCCCGCCGGAGGACCAACUCAAACUCUUUUUUUCUCUCCGUCGCGGCUCCCGUCGCGGCUCUGUUUUAUUUUUGCUCUGAGCCUUUCUCGGCGACCCUAGCGGGCGUCUCGAACAUGAAUCAAAACUUUCAACAACGGAUCUCUUGGUUCUGGCAUCGAUGAAGAACGCAGCGUAAUGCGAUAAGUAAUGUGAAUUGCAGAAUUCAGUGAAUCAUCGAAUCUUUGAACGCACAUUGCGCCCGCCAGUAUUCUGGCGGGCAUGCCUGUCCGAGCGUCAUUUCAACCCUCGAACCCCUCCGGGGGGUCGGCGUUGGGGAUCGGCCCCUCACCGGGCCGCCCCCGAAAUACAGUGGCGGUCUCGCCGCAGCCUCUCCUGCGCAGUAGUUUGCACACUCGCACCGGGAGCGCGGCGCGGCCACAGCCGUAAAACACCCCAAACUUCUGAAAUGUUGACCUCGGAUCAGGUAGGAAUACCCGCUGAA